UUAGAAUUCCUCAUGGGGGGCGCCAGAAACUACCCACUAUAGCUUCAAUAAACACCGUUAAAUUAUA